GUGCAUCGAACGGUUGGCAUGCUGUCCUUUUUAUUUCCAUCAUGUGCCAUUAAGCAUAUUUUGGUAUUUUGUCGUGGGUUCCUGUGCUGCCUACCAUGGAAGUGGUAUUCGAUUAUCUUGGAAUAUUUUGUUCCAUCCAKGUCCUCCUUGGGGGAUGAUGGUGGAUGAGUGCAAUGCAUGUGUUCCACUUUAGUUUUGUCUUAUGAAACUACUGUGGUAUGUAAUGCAAUUGUUGUUCUUUUGGAUGCAGUGAGUGCAUGCAAUGAACGUGGCUUCGAUUGUCCCGUUUAGCUAUAAAUUUUCCUUAGAAUGACUUUUGCCUUGGUGCAUGCACCAUGAGCACGGUCAUGAAUGGAUGCUA
rnacentral:misc_RNA from 1 species